UCUGGCGCAACCAAUAAAACAAUACCUUCAAUAAAGAUAAACAGACACAAUCAGCAGGAGUUCCAAUUGCAAUUACAACAUAAUAAGCAAAAGGAUUGCCCUUCAUCUAUAAAGCCUAACUUUUUCAUUAUGUUUACAUUUCCUAUAUUACACUCAAUUGCAUUUUUAUGUAAAUAUAUCUCUGUAAGAAAUAAUCUGGCAAAACAAAGCCGUAACUUAAUAGUAAGGGUAAAGCAACAAGAAUCUUGCAACACCGUUGGAAUGUUAUCUCACAAGAUAACAAAAUUAACAGAAAGAAACUAAGGAAAAACCUCACUGGAAAAUAAAGCAAGCCUGAUGUCGAAGUUCCAACUAGCAAGUUAGUAACCAAAAAAAAUGAAAAUAGAGGAAAUCAAAAGAAAAAGGAUAAGCUAGCAAACGAAAAGCUGGAUUUUCAUGAGAGAUGGCAAGCCUCCAUACAACCACAUGUAAAUUGAUAGGGUAAAUCAAGUUAUUUGUAAUGUGAACUUUAUAAUGUUAUAUAACAAUCUCUAAACAGGGAAAUCCAUAUUAAAAAUAGGCACUAUUCAAUAUUUACAAUAAAUCUAAGUAAUAGAAAAGUUAUGCUGCAUACUAAAGCCUCUCUACGUCCAGGAACUGUACCUCAG
rnacentral:lncRNA from 1 species